rnacentral:rRNA from 1 species
GACGAACGCUGGCGGCGUGCUUAACACAUGCAAGUCGAACGGAAAGGCCCUGCUUGCAGGGUGCUCGAGUGGCGAACGGGUGAGUAACACGUGGGUGAUCUGCCCCUUACUUUGGGAUAAGCCUGGGAAACUGGGUCUAAUACUGGAUAGGACCAUGCUGUAGGUGGUGUGGUGGAAAGAUUAGUUUCGGUAAGGGAUGAGCUCGCGGCCUAUCAGCUUGUUGGUGGGGUAAUGGCCUACCAAGGCGUCGACGGGUAGCCGGCCUGAGAGGGUGGACGGCAACAUUGGGACUGAGAUACGGCCCAGACUCCUACGGGAGGCAGCAGUGGGGAAUAUUGCACAAUGGGUGCAAGCCUGAUGCAGCGACGCCGCGUGGGGGAUGACGGCCUUCGGGUUGUAAACUCCUUUCAGCCAUGACGAAGCCCUUGUGGUGACGGUAGUGGUAGAAGAAGCACCGGCUAACUACGUG